rnacentral:rRNA from 1 species
UACGGAGGGUGCAAGCGUUUAUCCGGAUUUACUGGGUUUAAAGGGUGCGUAGGUGGGUAGGAAAGUCAGUGGUGAAAUCUUCGGGCUUAACCCGGAAACUGCCAUUGAUACUAUUUAUCUUGAAUACUUUGGAGGUAAGCGGAAUAUGUCAUGUAGCGGUGAAAUGCUUAGAUAUGACAUAGAACACCAAUUGCGAAGGCAGCUUACUACACAGUUAUUGACACUGAGGCACGAAAAGCGUGGGGAUCAAACAGG